AACGAACGCUGGCGGCAUGCCUAACACAUGCAAGUCGAACGAUGCCUUCGGGCAUAGUGGCGCACGGGUGCGUAACGCGUGGGAAUCUGCCCUUGGCUUCGGAAUAACAGUUAGAAAUGACUGCUAAUACCGGAUGAUGUCCCCCUGAGAGAUCUUGGGGACCAAAGAUUUAUCGGCCAGGGAUGCGCCCGCGUAGGAUUAGGUAGUUGGUGGGGUAAAGGCCUACCAAGCCGACGAUCCUUAGCUGGUCUGAGAGGAUGAUCAGCCACACUGGGACUGAGACACGGCCCAGACUCCUACGGGAGGCAGCAGUGGGGAAUAUUGGACAAUGGGGGGAACCCUGAUCCAGCAAUGCCGCGUGAGUGAUGAAGGCCUUAGGGUUGUAAAGCUCUUUUACCAGGGAUGAUAAUGACAGUACCUGGAGAAUAAGCUCCGGCUAACUCCGUG
rnacentral:rRNA from 1 species